AAGGAGAGGGGAAACCCCCUAACUCACUUAGUCUUUUACAAAUCGACAUCCUUAAACCUUUAUACUAGCUUUACAACUUAGAAACCCUAGCUAAGAGAUAAGGAAAGAAGGGUGGAGAUCUUCUGGUUUGAAUUGGAUGCUUCAGAUCACUCUUGGUGCUUUACUAGCUGUUUGUAUGCGCCUGAUUGGAUGAGGGAAAGUAUGGUGAGGAGAGCUUGUGUAUCUGCCCUUUUAACUGUCCAGAUACACAACCUUGCUUGCUCUUCCUUUCCAGCUGUAGCCAGCCUGUCGUGGACCAUUCUAACCAAUCCCAUACUUCCCAUACUUGGCGCCAACUCUUGUUUGAAUCUUCUUGCCACCAAAGCAUCUUCUUGAUUCUAUUUGAUGCUUCUCACCAUCCCGGACUUUGCACACUCAUAUUAGAGCUUCUCCUUGGCUGUACGGACUUGCCAUAACCGUACACCAAUGCCCUAUAUUUGCACAGCCCUCAAAUAGCUUCAAAUGGUCGAGUCCAUCAGUCUUGAGUUGAUCAUGUCCGUACAGGCCGUACCAUCCGUACGGCCGUCCGUACCGGCCUCGCCCUUAAGCUCCCAAACUCCUCCAAAGAUCUCCCAACUCUGAUUACUACUCUUCUUGAUCACUAUCUUAUCUUUGUACUAGCUUCACAUCUCUUCUGAAGCUUCAUAGAACUCUUCUUAACAUUUUCUAGAGCUUGCCCUAUUAUUGUACAAGCUCCAUCUUCUCUUCAGUUCAACACUCCCCCUCAAGCUUUGACUUUAGGAGAUCCUAAGCCAAGCUUGGAACUCUGAAGAGUCUCCCUCAUUAAAAACCUUACAAGGAAAACCCAUUGGGACAAAACCUUGCAAGGGAAAAAGAGUAGAGCUCUUCAAAGCCUAGGGAUUAGCCAGUGAGCUCUUGUGCCUUAGAACCAGUGUGGUUGGACACAAGAAGCUCUGGAUCACGGCCUAACAGGUGCAGCAACUCUUCACAGCUUUGCGCACACUUCACACUUCAUACUUCAGCUUCACCUCUUCAUGGAACCGGUUUGAAGUCUCCCCCUCUCAACUGACUUCACAGCCAUCUUAGAGAAGCUAGGACACGACAAGAUCAUCUUCAAAACACUAGUGAGGCUGAUCAACACUUCACACACGGCUUGCCCUCUUCAUAGAACUGGUUUGGAUCUCCCCCUCUCAACAGACUUCUCAGCCAUCUUAGAGAAGCAAGGAACUGACCAGGAACAUCUUUAGUGAGGCUCAAGCAAUGGUACCUGAUACAUUAUCCCAAAGGUGCAUCAGUACCUAUC
rnacentral:lncRNA from 1 species